rnacentral:rRNA from 1 species
UACGUAGGGGGCUAGCGUUGUCCGGAAUCACUGGGCGUAAAGCGCACGUAGGCGGAUUCUUAAGUCAGGGGUGAAAUCCUGGAGCUCAACUCCAGAACUGCCUUUGAUACUGGGAAUCUUCGAGUCCGGGAGAGGUGAGUGGAACUGCGAGUGUAGAGGUGAAAUUCGUAGAUAUUCGCAAGAACACCAGUGGCGAAGGCGGCUCACUGGCCCGGUACUGACGCUGAGGUGCGAAAGCGUGGGGAGCAAACAGG